UCUCCUCUACUCAUAGGCAUUGCUUGCUUUCUCCUUUCAAAACCUCCUUUCUAAUUUCGCUUUAAGAAGAAGAAAAUAUAUUAUUGCUGAUAACAACAUGUUCAAGAUGACAUUGUGUGCAACUGUUCUUGGUGUCGGAGAUACAUUAAUCGUCAAUAUUACAAUACUCCAAAGCGCAACUGUCAAAGGUGCAGAGUACCAGGUUGGGUCUUCCUCUGUCUCCCGUGGCUGAUUGUCGUCUUCAGCAUAUCAUCGAGUUUCCAGGGUGAGCACGAGCCGUUCGCCGUCUUGAAGACUCCUCUUAUCAUUAUGUCCUACUAUUUCGAUUCUGAGACAUAGACAAACUUAUGUAUUAUUAUAUUCCAGACUUGUAUAUUUUUCAUUAGAUGCUCUUGAAUGAUUUAGAUCA